rnacentral:tRNA from 1 species
GGGGGUGUACUCAAGCAGUCAACGAGGGCAGACUGUAAAUCUGCUGGCCGAACGGCCUACGUAGGUGCAAAUCCUACCGCCCCCA